CACUACUGUCAACUAAUAACCUUAUUUUCAUUUGCUGAUAAGAACAAAAACAAAAAUAAGCAGAAUACUUUUGAAAGUUCCCACCACUUCAUUUAUCAUCCCACCUAUACUGAAGUCUAUAUUCUUUGAGUUUUCUCCUUUUCCAUAAAUAAAAUCUCACUUCUUUACCUAGGGCCAAUUGCUCCACUUGGAUACUAGCUGUAAUCCCUUCUCACUUAACUCAAGAAUACACAUAUGGCUAUGGUGAGGCCUAUCUCAUGCAUUCUCCCAUCUAUACAGGAUCAUUGUUAUUAAUAUGCAGAUAUGCUUGACUCACACUUAAAAACAAUAUUUACCCUGUUUAGGUAGGUGAAAGAAAUCCUAGCAAGCUAACACUAUUAUUGCCAGUAAUGAUGAUUUUUGCAGAAAAAUCCACAAAAACAUCAUUCUGUAUUUUCUAAGAAUCAAAAAACAAACAAACAAACAAACAAAAAACAAGAACAUUGGAGACACAAAAAACAAGAACAUUGGAGACACGGCAGAGUCCUCAUGAAUGAGGUGUUGAAGAUAAGAGAUAAGAACAACACAGAGCCUAUCACAAAAGAGACAACUACACAUCAAAGAACAUCUUCAUGGAAAAAAAAGAGAAAUCCAUCUCACAGAUGUACAAGUUCAUGAAGAAAGAGGCAAAAACAUCUCUCAUCAAAAUGUUACAAUUCCCUAACAAAGGAACACACAGACAUGGAAGGUGCAGCAGGCUGGUAAGCUGUAGCAUGUCCAUGGAGAACACGACACUGUCAUGCAAAGCUGAAGCCCCAUGAUCAUUGCCUUCCUUGACUCAGACAGUACUUGAAUUUUGGUUGCUUUUUCUGAAACCAUUAAAUUCAAAAUAUCAUUAUAA